UCCCCUUCAGUUUGCACUUGAGUAACUGAUGAGGCUGUUCCAUAUUGCUAGAGGGGUUGUUUCUAACCCAGCUGAUCUGGGAUCUUCUGAUCGGAGUUGGCGGAGGACUGUGGCUCUUACACACCUGCUGUCCCAGGAAAGAGGCCAGAGCUGCAAAGAAGGUGAGCCAGCGGGGACAGGAGUUGGAAGCAGAGCGCAUUCCACUCUAGGACCGUUGACACCAUCUGGAGGAAGAAACUGGCUAUUUGCUUGAAAAAACGGAGCCUCGGAGCCUGGUACCGGACAAUGAGCAGAUGGUGGGGGUGAGUGAGAAGCCCCGGAGUCCAGAAGGAUCAGAGCUGAAGUUCGGAGUGAAUUUGAUAAAUGUCCAUUCAGGGCUUUACUCCGACGAACCGUAUCUUUGACAUCCCAGAAUUUCUCUCCUCUCCGCCUCUUCGUCUGAGUUAUGGCAUUCCAGUUUUAGAUUUCCUCGAGCAUUAGACACAGCGUACGGCCCACAAUCCCGGCAGGAUUAAGCUCCUGUGGGUUCCUUGUCGGCGAGGCAGGGGAAGAGGUCUGGUAAAAGUAAUAAACUCAAAGCAGGCAAUUUCUUUCGGAGUUCUUCCUAAAGCCUCCAUCUUUAUAUUUGUGUGUG